AAAAAUUUAGUUAAAUUAUAACAUUGGCUUGUCAAGCCAAAAUUAUUUUAAAAAUAAUUUUUA
rnacentral:tRNA from 1 species